CAAUAGCGUAUACUAAUGUUGUUGCAGUUAAAAAGCUCGUAGUUGAAUUUCUGGAUCUGGCUGACGGGUCUGCUUCAUUGCACGACACCGACAGGCAGUCCAUCCUAGUGGGGCGGCGCGUGCGUUCACUCGUGCGCGUGUGCCCUGCUUCUUUUACUGUGAAAAAAUCAGAGUGUUCAAAGCAAGCGUUCGCUUGAAUACAUUAGCAUGGAAUAAUGAGAUAGGACUUUGGCCUAUUUUGUUGGUUGCGGGCCGAGGUAAUGAUUAAUAGGGAUAGUUGGGGGUAUUCAUAUUUAAUUGUCAGAGGUGAAAUUCUUGGAUUUAUUAAAGAUGAACUACUGCGAAAGCAUUUACCAGGGAUGUGCCCUUUAA
rnacentral:rRNA from 1 species